GGCGGGGAAGGGGAAGAAGGAGGAGGAGGAGGGUUCCUUCGGUUCUAUCUUCUGUUUCGCCUAUCCUCCUCCUUCUCCUGCUCCUUUGCCUGCGCCAGCAGCAGCAGCAGCAGCAACGAAGAGCGUCCUCCUAAAAAGCAGCAUCCUUCCCCAAAGCGCCUUCCUGGGCCCUUUGCCGCUAGCCAGGCACCUUUGCAGAACGCGCCAGCGAGCCGCCGAAGCCUUGCGAGGGGACGAUGGGCUGCGGAAACUCGACGGCUACCAGCGCCAGCAGCAGAGAUACUACAGGAACAGCAAAAGAUGUAACAGAAGAAUCUGUCUCAGAAGAUGACAAAAGAAGGUAUGUUGCAAUAGACUGGACUGAAGAUAUGGUCUCAAAAAAGGA
rnacentral:lncRNA from 1 species